CCUGUCAAUGUGAUUUUCAGUUCUUUGGAUUAAAAGGAAAGACUGAGUGAAAUGCAUGGUGCACUGAAAUCUGGAACUUUUCUUUUUUUUAUAACAAUUUGACACGCAUUAAGGAAUUCUAACACUGAUGAGGAAGCUCUCACCUGUUCCUCUCUUCAUCAUCACUGCUGCCGACCUCGUCACUGGAUGAGGAGUAUUCUGUGGCCUUGUUAAGCCGACUCAGAGCAGCUCUAACACCCUGCGUGACAGAGCCACAACAAGAGCUUCCUCGCUGCUACGCAAAGAUGACACAGAGAGCAGAGCUUUGAAAGAGAGGAGUUGCUUCUUUCUCUCGAGACACGCAGCAGGUAACGGUGUGUGGCUAACUGCACAGACCUGGGUGGUUGCUGCAGCUGGAGGACACGGACCGUCCACUCUUGUCUGCGACCGACCCGGGACUGCCACUAGAUGGAGAAAGAGACACACAUACAGAGUGACAAAGAUGGAGAGUGUAUCAUACAUUAUACACUUCUAUACGUUUUCAUCUUGAGUGUAUCCUUCACACUGCCACUGCAACGACCCGACAGUCUCGGCAUUAGAUUUAUCGAAUGGAAAAUAAUCAUGCAAGCUUAACUAAUCUGAUCUACCCAUGACCGAUUGUUCUUCAAUGGUGUAUGCCAGUAAGCUGAAUUGUAGUGUGAUAUACUGUAAAUCCUCACAAUAAAUAAGGCUCCCUCUAGAAGAAAGGAUAACUUAGGGGUGGGACAAAAUAUCAAAACGGCAAUAUAUCAUUGUCCUUCUCCGUGUGAUACGAGAAUCGAUACGUUGGCGCCAAAUAUGGAUAUUUAAAAUAAGGAACUUUAAUAGAUUUCACUGCUCUCAGAUUUCACUGCUCCUUCAGGUGGCACUCGACACAUGAAUGAGGGAAACUUGAACAGACGUUAACUAGCUGUAGCCGGGUUGGUUCAGCGGGUAGAGCAGGCGCACAUAUACAGGGAGGUUUAUGCCUCGACGCAGAGGCUCAGGGUUUGACUCCAACCUGUGACGAUUUCCUGCAUGUCUUCCUCCCCUUUCUCACCUACCUGUCCUAUCAAAGGCGGAAAAGCCCAAAAAGAAAUCAUCUUUAAAAAAAAAAAAGAGGAAAAUAACAGAUGCCCCCACCCACGUUUAAGUCCAAAGUCUGGACCCCUGGUAGCUCUAUAGUCGUGUCAAUUUAAUUUACAGAUUGAAAACUUGUUGGACUUAUUUGUGAAUGAAGAGAGAAAACACUUUUCACAGGCAUUUAGUAUUCGUGGUUGGACGGACAUCGUGAUGUAGCACCAUGGGACUGUCUAGCAGAAUUGCUGAAUAGUGAUAUUUUCAGUAUUUUGAGCCAUGUGUGUUGUAUAAUAUCGUGAGGUACCUUGUGAUUCCCAUCCUUAGCUACAAAACCAAACAUUAGAAAUAAAGAAUGUGUAUUUACAUUCUCGUUGAGAAUAAGACUUUUCUCAUUCCCAAUUUAAGGACAAACAGUUGCAUUGUAUAUCAUUCAUGCAGCGAUGUUUGUAUUCCCAAAGUCAAGAGACUCCUCAUUGUUAUGAGUCUACGUUGUAGAUAAGUAAAUCAAAUGCUUCAAUAUGAGUCAGUGAACGUAUUGCCUUAUUAACAGAUCUGCUGGUAGGUGAUUUUGAUGAUUCAAUGUGUACAACAUGGCUUCUUUUCUAAAUUUACAUUGUUAUGUCAAGGUUUAACAAUGUUAAAAGUCUCAAACUGACUCAUUCAUUUACCAUAUUUGUCACUAUGUAAACUAGUCUGAUUCUGCCCAUUUACACAGUUUGUUAAAAACAGGAAAAACACACGUGUGUGUGUGUGAGGUGCCUGGCCAUAAGAAUGGGAUGAACAAUAACUAUCUAGCUAGAAACAACACUACCGUGGUUAAAGGAGUACUGUUUUUGUCCUAUUUGGUUUCUGGGAUACAACCUCUAAACAGAAUAUUUGACAUGUUGACAUGGUAUAAAGUCGUCAAGGCCAACGUGUUAGCAAACAGUUGCCUAUUUACAUAUCCAGCAGACAUGGAGGUUUGAGGGUCAUUUGGAAUCGUGUUUCUGGCCACCUGACAAACAGAGGUAAAUAUUCACUUUCUUUCAAUAUCUGAUUUGCUCUCCACCUACUCCUGAGGGAAAUAUCGGGCUCUAAAUGAUCCUCUUUGCUCACUAGCUAGUCCUUUGUGUGUUUGUCAUUUGGUGCUGAACAGGUACCUUAUAGUAGGUUUUUAGAGCUUUUUUCUUUUGCUAAAACAGCUGACUGCUGCAGUCAAAAACACUGAACCAUUACUGUGACCUGAAAGAUGUAAAAAAUAGUCUGUAGAAAUACGUGUGACUACAGAGUCAGGGGAUGAUUCAGUUUCAACCACUGUCAAUCUAAAAUACUGAUUUUAUACAUAUUUGUUUGACAAAAAGUGACAUUACUGUAUGUUAUUGGCUUAUGCACAAACAAAUGGGCCAACCUUCAAGACCGGCACAUAUCUCUGGGUUAUGUGUUUAGUGUGGGUCAAAUAUGGGUAAAUAUAAACAAGAGGGGAAAAAAGCGCAAAAUAUAGAAGAGAGAAGACAAAAUAUAGAAUAAGAAACAUGAAAAAUAAGACAAAAGUACGCACACACAAAAAAAAAAUCAAUGGGUGAUUAUUAAACACAGUGUAGUUGUGUUCUACCUCGAAGCGGCCCGCUUGUGUCCCAUCACCAGCUCUCUACAGUAGAACUUUGAGGUUGUGCGUUCUGGGACCUGGAGCAGAAGAGGAAUCAAUUGGACUGACUUGACAGAAACACAUAGUUAGUGAAACUUGACAGAAAGCACAUAUUGAGUGAAUACACAAAGACGGUCCUGAUUACUGGUUUCACUUUUUAUGUGUUUGAGCGGGGGCUCUUUACGAGGAUCUCACGUCUAGCCAAGCAGGGUUUCAGCUAAUUAUAGGUAGGUGUUUGCAGUUGUGAAACCUUUAUGUACAACAAUCUCUAAACUGCCUGAAAGGGUGUAGAUCAGAGUACAGUAAAAUCUUUAAUAACCCACCGGGAGAUAUUUAUUCCUGAGAAUCUAAUGAGACCAUUUUGGCUUAGCUAUUUCUUAACAUUGGCAUGUGGCUCCUUUAAACUCUCCAAAGCUGUGUCCAAAUCUCACAUGUGGUGUGGACAUGUGAUCUGACUCAGGGAUAUUUCCUAACCUUUUUUCAACAGCGUUGCAUUCACUGUUAGUCAGCAUUGUGAAAUCAAUACCAGAUCAAUCUGUGUAAGUGUUGCAAAGCCCUGGGCUUUAAACGGGAUCUUUCGACACUUCACUCUCAGUUGUACCGGCCAGCUGGUGACUUUUUCACCUCUCAUCUCCUGGGUCACAUGGCCUACUUACAGAGAGGAAGACACACCCAGCAGAGCAGGAAGUCGACUGUGGGAAUACCUGUCAUCUUUCGGACAAGUUGCCCACAUCCUGCAUCUGGCUCCCCUGAACAUGCGCACACACACAGCGAACUCUGUGUCUGCUGUUUCCUUUCUAUUAUUGCGACACACCCAUGAUAUCAAAAUCGUGGUCUACGAAGUAGGGGUAGGGGGUGAGAUAUGUCUCAUUACGUUUGGGAGAAAAAAUUGACAAUCUGUGAAUAAAUGUGUUAUUUGUGAAUAUAAAACACAUUCCACUAAUAACAAAAGUAAGUAAACUCCCAAAAAUAAUUUGCAAAUAUAAAACGGAUCUGCAAAAAAAAAAAAAAAAA